rnacentral:rRNA from 1 species
UACGAAGGUCCCAAGCGUUGUUCGGAAUCACUGGGCGUAAAGGGUGCGUAGGCGGCGUGGUAAGUCAGAUGUGAAAUCCCGAGGCUCAACCUCGGAACUGCAUCCGAUACUGCCAUGCUAGAGGACUGGAGAGGUGACUGGAAUUCUCGGUGUAGCAGUGAAAUGCGUAGAGAUCGAGAGGAACACUCGUGGCGAAAGCGAGUCACUGGACAGUAUCUGACGCUGAUGCACGAAGGCUAGGGGAGCGAAAGGG